UACAGAGGGGGCAAGCGUUGUUCGGAAUUACUGGGCGUAAAGGGCGCGUAGGCGGCCUGCUAAGUCGAACGUGAAAUCCCUGGGCUCAACCCAGGAACUGCGUCCGAUACUGGUUGGCUUGAAUCCGGGAGGAGGGAUGUGGAAUUCCAGGUGUAGCGGUGAAAUGCGUAGAUAUCUGGAGGAAUACCGGUGGCGAAGGCGGCAUCCUGGACCGGCAUUGACGCUGAUGGAGCGAAAAGCUAGGGGAGCAAACGGG
rnacentral:rRNA from 1 species